rnacentral:rRNA from 1 species
UUCCCCCAGUAGCGGCGAGCGAACGGGGAGCAGCCCAGAGUCUGAAUCAGCUUGUGUGUUAGUGGAACGGUCUGGAAAGUCCGACGGUACAGGGUGAUAGUCCCGUACACCAAAAUGCACAGGUUGUGAACUCGAAGAGUAGGGCGGGACACGUGGUAUCCUGUCUGAAUAUGGGGGGACCAUCCUCCAAGGCUAAAUACUCCUGACUGACCGAUAGUGAACCAGUACCGUGAGGGAAAGGCGAAAAGAACCCCGGCGAGGGGAGUGAAAAAGAACCUGAAACCGUGUACGUACAAGCAGUGGGAGCACCUUCGGGUGUGACUGCGUACCUUUUGUAUAAUGGGUCAGCGACUUAUAUUCUGUAGCAAGGUUAACCGUAUAGGGGAGCCGCAGGGAAACCGAGUCUUAACUGGGCGUUAAGUUGCAGGGUAUAGACCCGAAACCCGGUGAUCUAGCCAUGGGCAGGUUGAAGGUUGGGUAACACUAACUGGAGGACCGAACCGACUAAUGUUGAAAAAUUAGCGGAUGACUUGUGGCUGGGGGUGAAAGGCCAAUCAAACCGGGAGAUAGCUGGUUCUCCCCGAAAGCUAUUUAGGUAGCGCCUCGUGAAUUCAUCUUCGGGGGUAGAGCACUGUUUCGGCUAGGGGGUCAUCCCGACUUACCAACCCGAUGCAAACUACGAAUACCGAAGAAUGUUAUCACGGGAGACACACGGCGGGUGCUAACGUCCGUCGUG